AGAUCGGAUCUGCGCGAUCGGACGCUGUGAACCAUGUCAGGUGGGAAACCAAGCAGCAUUAAGCAGAUUGUUAGAUGUGUUGCAACCCAUCCGGUCUCCG
rnacentral:SRP_RNA from 1 species